GACGAACGUUGGCGGCGUGCUUAACACAUGCAAGUCGAACGGAAAGGCCCUGCUUUUGUGGGGUGCUCGAGUGGCGAACGGGUGAGUAACACGUGAGUAACCUGCCCUUGACUUUGGGAUAACUUCAGGAAACUGGGGCUAAUACCGGAUAGGAGCUCCUGCUGCAUGGUGGGGGUUGGAAAGUUUCGGCGGUUGGGGAUGGACUCGCGGCUUAUCAGCUUGUUGGUGGGGUAGUGGCUUACCAAGGCUUUGACGGGUAGCCGGCCUGAGAGGGUGACCGGCCACAUUGGGACUGAGAUACGGCCCAGACUCCUACGGGAGGCAGCAGUGGGGAAUAUUGCACAAUGGGCGGAAGCCUGAUGCAGCAACGCCGCGUGCGGGAUGACGGCCUUCGGGUUGUAAACCGCUUUCGCCUGUGACGAAGCGUGAGUGACGGUAAUGGGUAAAGAAGCACCGGCUAACUACGUGCCAGCAGCCGCGGUGAUACGUAGGGUGCGAGCGUUGUCCGGAUUUAUUGGGCGUAAAGGGCUCGUAGGUGGUUGAUCGCGUCGGAAGUGUAAUCUUGGGGCUUAACCCUGAGCGUGCUUUCGAUACGGGUUGACUUGAGGAAGGUAGGGGAGAAUGGAAUUCCUGGUGGAGCGGUGGAAUGCGCAGAUAUCAGGAGGAACACCAGUGGCGAAGGCGGUUCUCUGGGCCUUUCCUGACGCUGAGGAGCGAAAGCGUGGGGAGCGAACAGGCUUAGAUACCCUGGUAGUCCACGCUGUAAACGGUGGGUACUAGGUGUGGGGUCCAUUCCACGGGUUCCGUGCCGUAGCUAACGCUUUAAGUACCCCGCCUGGGGAGUACGGCCGCAAGGCUAAAACUCAAAGGAAUUGACGGGGCCCCGCACAAGCGGCGGAGCAUGCGGAUUAAUUCGAUGCAACGCGUAGAACCUUACCUGGGUUUGACAUGGAUCGGGAGUGCUCAGAGAUGGGUGUGCCUCUUUUGGGGUCGGUUCACAGGUGGUGCAUGCCUGUCGUCAGCUCGUGUCGUGAGAUGUUGGGUUAAGUCCCGCAACGAGCGCAACCCUUGUUCACUGUUGCCAGCACGUUAUGGUGGGGACUCAGUGGAGACCGCCGGGGUCAACUCGGAGGAAGGUGGGGAUGACGUCAAGUCCUCAUGCCCCUUAUGUCCAGGGCUUCACGCAUGCUACAAUGGCUGGUACAGAGAGUGGCGAGCCUGUGAGGGUGAGCGAAUCUCGGAAAGCCGGUCUCAGUUCGGAUUGGGGUCUGCAACUCGACCUCACGAAGUCGGAGUCGCUAGUAAUCGCAAAUCAGCAACGCUGCGGUGAAUACGUUCCCGGG
rnacentral:rRNA from 1 species